GGAGGGUGCAAGCGUUGCUCGGAAUUACUGGGCGUAAAGCGCGCGUAGGUGGUCAAAGAAGUUCGGUGUGAAAGCCCUGGGCUCAACCCAGGAAGUGCGCCGGAAACCAUUUGACUUGAGAAUCGGAGGGGAGCGUGGAAUUCCCAGUGUAGAGGUGAAAUUCGUAGAUAUUGGGAGGAACACCGGUGGCGAAGGCGACGCUCUGGACGAUUUCUGACACUGAGGCGCGACAGCGUGGGGAGCAAACAGGGAUUAGAUACCCUGGUAGUCCGCGCCGUAAACGAUGGAUACUAGGUGCUGGGGGUCUUGACCCCCUUCGGUGCCCGACGCAAACGCAUUAAGUAUCCCGCCUGGGAAGUACGGUCGCAAGGCUG
rnacentral:rRNA from 1 species